GACGAACGCUGGCGGCGUGCCUAAUACAUGCAAGUAGAACGCUGAAGAGAGGAGCUUGCUCUUCUUGGAUGAGUUGCGAACGGUUGAGUAACGCGUAGGUAACCUGCCUUGUAGCGGGGGAUAACUAUUGGAAACGAUAGCUAAUACCGCAUAACACUGGUUGACACAUGUCAUUUAUUUGAAAGGGGCAAUUGCUCCACUACAAGAUGGACCUGCGUUGUAUUAGCUAGUAGGUGAGGUAAUGGCUCACCUAGGCGACGAUACAUAGCCGACCUGAGAGGGGGAUCGGCCACACUGGGACUGAGACACGGCCCAGACUCCUACGGGAGGCAGCAGUAGGGAAGCGUCGGCAAUGGGGGCAACCCUGACCGAGCAACGCCGCGUGAGGGAAGAAGGUUUUCGGAUCGUAAAGCUCUGUUGUAAGUCAAGAACGGGUGUGAGAGUGGAAAGUUCACACUGUGACGGUAGCUUACCAGAAAGGGACGGCUAACUACGUG
rnacentral:rRNA from 1 species